GGAAGGCUGUUUUCCAACGCCACUUUUGAUGGCUGUAAGUGGGAUCUCUGGAACCAAAGGGAGCACAUGGCUCUUCUUAAAACUGAAGGUAUUUGUGUCCAAGAUGAAACUGAAUUCUGUUUGGCCAAGAGAUGUGCUUCUGUGUACGAAGGAAAGAACACAGUGGCUUCUGCCAGCAAACCAAACAAAACCAGAGUAAUCUGGAAAAGGUAACUUGUGCCCAUGAAAAAAGUGACAUCGUUCAUAAUAAAUUCCAAAACAACUUUCCUGCUAAGGCCAUUGAACACAAAAUCAAUGUGAUACUU
rnacentral:lncRNA from 1 species